rnacentral:rRNA from 1 species
UGAACGCUGGCGGCGUGCCUAAUACAUGCAAGUCGAGCGACCAGAUGAGGAGCUUGCUCCUCUGACGUUAGCGGCGGACGGGUGAGUAACACGUGGAUAACCUACCUAUAAGACUGGGAUAACUUCGGGAAACCGGAGCUAAUACCGGAUAAUAUAUUGAACCGCAUGGUUCAAUAGUGAAAGACGGUUUUGCUGUCACUUAUAGAUGGAUCCGCGCCGCAUUAGCUAGUUGGUAAGGUAACGGCUUACCAAGGCAACGAUGCGUAGCCGACCUGAGAGGGUGAUCGGCCACACUGGAACUGAGACACGGUCCAGACUCCUACGGGAGGCAGCAGUAGGGAAUCUUCCGCAAUGGGCGAAAGCUUGACGGAGCAACGCCGCGUGAGUGAUGAAGGUCUUCGGAUCGUAAAACUCUGUUAUUAGGGAAGAACAAAUGUGUAAGUAACUAUGCACGUCUUGACGGUACCUAAUCAGAAAGCCACGGCUAACUACGUG